rnacentral:lncRNA from 1 species
CAGCCAUGGAAACAAGAAGAGGAUCACAUGGAAACAAAAAUUCGAGGAUUUUCAAGAGACGAAGACAAACUUCGUACAAAAGGAUGGAAAGUGACGGUGAAGAUAAGUUAUAUUGAACUCAGUGCAGAAUGUUACUUUCACAAAACAGCGUCCAGUUCGCGGACAAAGGAAGCUAAGUUUGAGUUAUGGUUUUGAGUUAAUUUACAGGGGAAAUGACCUUGAAUGAUUCAGAGAUUUACACGGAGCUAUUGAAUAAGCACUAAGCAGUAGCUCCAGCGAUCACGUGACGAACAUUGCUCCGCGGCACGUGCACGUAACAACAAAUCGGAAGAAGCAAUGUUACGUCACCGAUACACAAUCGCGCCAGGUACGCAAUCGCAAAAUUGGUUUUGAGUAGCAAGAAGACACCGCUCAACUGGAGUUGCGUUGCGAGAGAAGGAAAAAGCCCUACGAAUGAAAAUUAUCCAAUGUUCAUUACAUGCACGAGCCUCACGCGCGACUAUCGGCCGAAUUACAGACAAUCCAGACUGCAAUGAUUAGAAUCGCGCAAAUAAGCUUCACUGAUAAAUCUGAAACGAUCUAAUUUUAGAACACAGUUUAACAACUCGCCGGAAUGCUAAUCCACGCUGUCAAAUACACGGAUGGAAUUAUAAAAUUAUCCGCGUGAUCACCGUCAUUCGAUAUCGUUUUCUUCUAUUCUUUUUCCUUCCCUUCUUUAUGGCGAGCGAAACGAAAACUUCGUUUUCAACCGUGCUACAGAAACUACAUACUACGAAUUUUAACGACACCGUAAAAAGCGUUUAUUUUAGGAAUGCGAUGUGAGGAACAAGUUCGCACCAGAGAUGAGUGUAUGAUAAUGUUGUUCGAUGGAAUAUUAACAUGGUUCAAUCGACUGUCUGGUUGAUUGCGUCGUAAAAUCUCAUAACACCGAAACUUAAUUUAUAAUAUACCGUAUGAUACCUAAUUAUAAAUAUGCGACGAUUUUAUAAAUGGCACUAGUCGUUAAUGCUAAUUUCUAUGAACUUUUUUUGGAUAUGUAUGCUAGGUAAAAGGAUACGCAUAUACGUAUACGGUCAACAAGAAAAUGUAAAGAUGAAGUAAACUGUACAUACUUAUGCCAUAAUGAAUGGUGUAUCGCAAUAUUUUCUAAACAUCGAGUGUCAUAUAAAUAUUGAAAAACCAUUCAUAAAAUAAUUUUGAAUUUCUGAAUUACAAUACGUGUUCGUAAAUAUGCUGGUACACGCACGUACGCACGCUCCGAUCCAGAGCACGAUACCAAUCAAUAACAUGCACGAAUUAAUCAUAAAACAAGGGAUGAAAUUG